GCACUCACUUUGGCAGCACAUAAACUCAAAUUUGGAAUGAUACGAGAAGAUUAGCAUGUCCCCUGCACAGGAUGACUCUCAAAUUUGUAAAGCACUCCAUAUUUUU